rnacentral:rRNA from 1 species
GAAACGUGGAUUAACACCCCAUAGUACUUUUAUCCUGCAUAGGAUGUGAGUUAAAUGUUUAAGGUAUCGGAUGGGCAUGCGUCCUAUUAGUUAGUUGGCGGGGUAACAGCCCACCAAGACGAUGAUAGGUAGGGGUUCUGAGAGGAAGGUCCCCCACAUUGGAACUGAGACACGGUCCAAACUCCUACGGGAGGCAGCAGUGAGGAAUAUUGGUCAAUGGACGUAAGUCUGAACCAGCCAAGUCGCGUGAGGGAAGACUGCCCUAUGGGUUGUAAACCUCUUUUAUAAGGGAAGAAUAAGUUCUACGUGUAGAAUGAUGCCUGUACCUUAUGAAUAAGCAUCGGCUAACUCCGUGCCAGCAGCCGCGGUAAUACGGAGGAUGCGAGCGUUAUCCGGAUUUAUUGGGUUUAAAGGGUGCGUAGGCGGUUUAUUAAGUUAGUGGUUAAAUAUUUGAGCUAAACUCAAUUGUGCCAUUAAUACUGGUAAACUGGAGUACAGACGAGGUAGGCGGAAUAAGUUAAGUAGCGGUGAAAUGCAUAGAUAUAACUUAGAACUCCGAUAGCGAAGGCAGCUUACCAGACUGUAACUGACGCUGAUGCACGAGAGCGUGGGUAGCGAACAGGAUUAGAUACCCUGGUAGUCCACGCCGUAAACGAUGCUCACUGGUUCUGUGCGAUAUAUUGUACGGGAU